GACGAACGCUGUCGGCGUGCCUAAUACAUGCAAGUAGAACGCGGUUGUGAACGGGUGAGUAACGCGUAGGUAACUGCCACAGAGCGGGUGAUACCUAUUGUAAACGGUAGCUAAUACCGCAUACUGUUAGAUGGACCUGCGUUGUAUUCGUUAGUUGGUGAGGUUAAGGCUCACAACGGCGACGCUACAUAGCCGACCUGAGAGGUGGAUCGGCCAAAGUGGGACUGAGACACGGCCCAGACUCCUGCGGGAGGCAGCAGUAGGGAAGCUUCGGCAAUGGACGGAAGUCUGACCGGGCAACGCCGCGUGAUUGGAGAAGGUUUUCGGAUCGUAAAGCUCUGUUGUUAGAGAAGCGGUAACUAACCAGAACGGGACGGCUAACUACGUGCCAGCAGCCGCGGUAAUAC
rnacentral:rRNA from 1 species